CUAAAUUGCAAAUUUAGAGAGGCACCUAUAAAGGGUGCCGGGGCUUCUCCCGUUU
rnacentral:tRNA from 1 species